GAAGAUAGAAGUAAACUACAAUCCGCAUAUACUGUUCUAUAGAUUUACAGGACAUAUACAUUAAAGACCAUGCAAUGCAUGCAUAACCAAAGUCACCAAAUCAGCCAGCACUCUGUUGCAUUUUCAUCCCAUUCCCCACUGAAAUUGUGUUCCUUGAUUCAUAUGCACUUCAUAACUCUACAGAUGCUCCUUCAAAACACAAAACACAUGAACUUGAAAGCCAAGGGGAAAUCUAGGCACUAUUAACCAUAGCUCCAUUUGACUGAAAUGGAUUUCUUUUUCUUUUACACACCAUCUUUCUCUCUAGAGAUCAACAAUGAUAAUACUACUUCAUAAAACAUCUAAGCCAAUAAAAUUUUAAGUAGAAUGCGCCACAAAAUCUUAUCAACUAUCCUGAUAGAAGCAUGAACCCAAAAUGCAAAUAAACAAAUAAUAAACAGGACUGUCUGCAAACUUUUAACAACACUAAC
rnacentral:misc_RNA from 1 species